GAGGCUUUGUCUUAAUAAAAGAGUUUGAGUUGCAUUCAGAAGAUGUGGGUUAGUACCCUGCAAGCCUUA
rnacentral:tRNA from 1 species